AACCCAAGGUGCAUGCCGAGGGGCGGUUGGCCUCGUAAAAAGCCGCAAAAAAUAGUCGCAAACGACGAAAACUACGCUUUAGCAGCUUAAUAACCUGCUUAGAGCCCUCUCUCCCUAGCCUCCGCUCUUAGGACGGGGAUCAAGAGGGGUCAAACCCAAAAGAGAUCGCGUGGAAGCCCUGCCUGGGGUUGAAGCGUUAAAACUUAAUCAGGCUAGUUUGUUAGUGGCGUGUCCGUCCGCAGCUGGCAAGCGAAUGUAAAGACUGACUAAGCAUGUAGUACCGAGGAUGUAGGAAUUUCGGACGCGGGUUCAACUCCCGCCAGCUCCACCA
rnacentral:tmRNA from 1 species